UACAGAGGUCUCAAGCGUUGUUCGGAUUCAUUGGGCGUAAAGGGUGCGUAGGCGGCGCGGUAAGUCGGGGUGUGAAAUCUCGGAGCUUAACUUCGAAACUGCAUUCGAUACUGCCGUGCUUUGAGGACUGGAGAGGAGACUGGAAUUUACGGUGUAGCGGUGAAAUGCGUAGAUAUCGUAAGGAAGACCAGUGGCGAAGGCGGGUCUCUGGACAGUUCCGUGACGCUGAGGCAACGAAGGCCAGGGGAGGACGAAACGGGG
rnacentral:rRNA from 1 species